GUCUUUAACUUUCGUUCAUGUUCAGGCCAUUCCGGCCUGUUGCUCAUCGUGGCGUGCGUGCAUAUGGGCGCGAGUGCAUGAUUGGGCACCCGCGUGCGUGCGUGCUGUGUGUGUGUAUGUGCGUGUGCGUGUGUGUAUGUGCGUGUGUGUGCGCUUGCACAUGCGCAAUUGGGUCGAUCGUGGGCAGUUGGUCGCUUCAAAAGUCGAUCUUUGGGCA